UGCUUCCGGCCGCGGUGCGAGACACCAUCCCUGCUGUCGGUUUGCCGAUUAUAACAAGACGUCCGGACCUACCUUCCUGGUGAUCGAUGGUAGAUGUGGGUCCCGCGGGUUGUGUCGGUCGCAGAAUGAGCGGGUAGACGAUUACGGCAAGUCUCGGGGCUCAUGAAUUUAUAAUGCUUAUCCACUUCCGACAAUGGCCACUCGACCCCGUAAUACUACCAUUUCAGGUCGUCAGCCCCAGUUAGACCAACAGCUUCUUCCUGUCCCCGAUCGCAGGGAGCAGGGAGCAGGGAGCAGGGCAUCGUCAUCACCGCCCUCAUCCGAGCGACGACGAGAUCGAUUGGCUCUCCAUGGACUCUGUGACACCCAAGACAGAGGCUACAAAAGAACAGACUGUAGAAUUACUGAUAGCAAUCUCCCAAUCCGUUCCAAGAAUGAACCUCACAUCAAAUCCGUCACCUAUGAACUCAACCAUUGUUAUCAUGGCCCGUGAAAAGGAAAAUGAAGAUGCUGAGAAAUACAGAUCUAAGCUGAUCUCUAUCUCCUAUACACAGUCUCCUGAUGUUCAACGACCACCAUCUUUAGAAAAUUGUGGCAGUUAAAUGGGAAGUCGCAAUGACCUAAGGGCAUCUGAAUUUCUGUGUCUUGUAAUCUAUGCUGCUUGUUUACUUGCCACUAUCAAUAGGAUAAACUUGUUGUCAAGAUCUGCCAUGAUGUUCAAAGUAAUUUAAGAAGAAACUUGGAUAUGCCAGCUA